rnacentral:rRNA from 1 species
UCGAACGGAACUGUUUUGAAAGAUUUCUUCGGAAUGAAUUUGAUUUAGUUUAGUGGCGGACGGGUGAGUAACGCGUGAGUAACCUGCCUUCAAGAGGGGGAUAACAUUCUGAAAAGAAUGCUAAUACCGCAUGAUAUAUCGGAACCACAUGGUUUUGAUAUCAAAGAUUUUAUCGCUUGAAGAUGGACUCGCGUCCGAUUAGUUAGUUGGUGAGGUAACGGCUCACCAAGACCGCGAUCGGUAGCCGGACUGAGAGGUUGAACGGCCACAUUGGGACUGAGACACGGCCCAGACUCCUACGGGAGGCAGCAGUGGGGGAUAUUGCGCAAUGGGGGCAACCCUGACGCAGCAACGCCGCGUGAAGGAUGAAGGUUUUCGGAUUGUAAACUUCUUUUAUUAAGGACGAAAAACGACGGUACUUAAUGAAUAAGCUCCGGCUAACUACGUGCCAGCAGCCGCGGUAAUACGUAGGGAGCAAGCGUUGUCCGGAUUUACUGGGUGUAAAGGGUGCGUAGGCGGCUUUGCAAGUCAGAUGUGAAAUCUAUGGGCUCAACCCAUAAACUGCAUUUGAAACUGUAGAGCUUGAGUGAAGUAGAGGCAGGCGGAAUUCCCCGUGUAGCGGUGAAAUGCGUAGAGAUGGGGAGGAACACCAGUGGCGA